UUAUUUUGGAUAUGAUCACGUGAUAACCUACCGGGAACGAGCAGUGAACCUUUAUUUCCUCUACGCAUUCUGUAAAAACGUGUAAUCUUACGAUGCAUAUUUGAAUGUUGUUGUUAUCAUGUUAAUAACCAUGCUAUAUAAGCUAGCUUCACACUA